rnacentral:rRNA from 1 species
AUUGAACGCUGGCGGCAGGCUUAACACAUGCAAGUCGAGCGGAGAUGAGGUGCUUGCACCUUAUCUUAGCGGCGGACGGGUGAGUAACGCUUAGGGAUCUGCCUAUUAGUGGGGGACAACAUUCCGAAAGGAAUGCUAAUACCGCAUACGUCCUACGGGAGAAAGCAGGGGAUCUUCGGACCUUGCGCUAAUAGAUGAGCCUAAGUCGGAUUAGCUAGUUGGUGGGGUAAAGGCCUACCAAGGCGACGAUCUGUAGCGGGUCUGAGAGGAUGAUCCGCCACACUGGGACUGAGACACGGCCCAGACUCCUACGGGAGGCAGCAGUGGGGAAUAUUGGACAAUGGGGGGAACCCUGAUCCAGCCAUGCCGCGUGUGUGAAGAAGGCCUUAUGGUUGUAAAGCACUUUAAGCGAGGAGGGGGCUACUGAGACUAAUACUCUUGGAUAGUGGACGUUACUCGCAGAAUAAGCACCGGCUAACUCUGUGCCAGCCGCCGCCGUAAUAC